rnacentral:rRNA from 1 species
UUAGGAAUAUUGCGCAAUGGAGGAAACUCUGACGCAGCCAUGCCGCGUGAGUGACGACGGCCUUAGGGUUGUAAAGCUCUUUCAGGUGUGAAGAUAAUGACGGUAACACCAGAAGAAGCCCCGGCUAAAUUCGUGCCAGCAGCCGCGGUAAUACGAAUGGGGCAAGCGUUGUUCGGAAUCACUGGGCGUAAAGCGUAUGUAGGCGGCUUUUCAAGUCAGAAGUGAAAGCCUGGGGCUCAACCCCAGAAUUGCUUUUGAAACUGGAUCGCUAGAGUCCCGGAGAGGUUGGCGGAAUUCCGAGUGUAGAGGUGAAAUUCGCAGAUAUUCGGAGGAACACCAGUGGCGUAGGCGGCCAACUGGACGGGUACUGACGCUGAGAUACGAAAGCAUGGGGAGCAAACAGG